rfam:Cavia porcellus supercont2_4 genomic scaffold, whole genome shotgun sequence.
GGGGAUUUAGCUCAGCAGUGUAAGCACCUGCCUUGCAAGCAGGCGGUCGUGAGUUCAAUCCCCG